GUUCUUUACUCAAUUUAGUAUCACAUACACUAACAUUGGAAUAAUACAGAGAAGAUUAGCAUGCCCCCUGCGCAAGUAUGUCAUGAAAAUUUGUGUAGCAUUCCAUAUUUUU